rnacentral:rRNA from 1 species
AUUGAACGCUGGCGGCAUGCCUUACACAUGCAAGUCGAACGGCAGCACGGGUGCUUGCCCCUGGUGGUGAGUGGCGAACGGGUGAGUAAUACAUCGGAACAUGUCCUGUAGUGGGGGAUAGCCCGGCGAAAGCCGGAUUAAUACCGCAUACGAUCUACGGAUGAAAGCGGGGGACCUUCGGGCCUCGCGCUAUAGGGUUGGCCGAUGGCCGAUUAGCUAGUUGGUGGGGUAAAGGCCUACCAAGGCGACGAUCAGUAGCUGGUCUGAGAGGACGACCAGCUACACUGGGACUGAGACACGGCCCAGACUCCUACGGGAGGCAGCAGUGGGGAAUUUUGGACAAUGGGCGAAAGCCUGAUCCAGCAAUGCCGCGUGUGUGAAGAAGGCCUUCGGGUUGUAAAGCACUUUUGUCCGGAAAGAAAUCCUUGGCCCUAAUACGGUCGGGGGAUGACGGUACCGGAAGAAUAAGCACCGGCUAACUACGUG